rnacentral:sRNA from 1 species
AUCUGGCGCGCCUACGCUCCGGUUCCUGCGCGCCCGCCUUGCCCGCCCGAGCGCUGCUCGCUGCGUUUUGUUGGCC